rnacentral:lncRNA from 1 species
AGAAAAAGUCACUUGUCACAUUUUGAUAACCACCACAAGCGAGUAUAUAUAUGUGUGUGUAUUGUGCCUUUUAAUUAUCACAUCUUUUCAUUUUGUACUCUUUCAAGUACAAACUAUACUUUAUAUGUGAUUAAUAUACAUCCAAGCACAACUAUAACACAUAUACAUAAAUGAUUGUAUAUAACCAUUAUAGAAGAAUCAUUUAUAACUAACAAGGCAAGGAAGGAGGGUUAUCAAUACACCCAUAUUCUAAUACUUUUAUCGAAACCGAUCCAUCAUGGUAUCGUCUUUUAUAUUAGAAUAUAAAACAUUAAUACGAACUUGAACUUUAUAUUAAACCAAUAUACACAUAGGUCAUAUAAGAAUAUAAAAUAUUCUUACAUUCUCCCACUUGACCUUUGUCUUGCCUUAAGAGUUCAAUAACUUUAAUGUGCAAUUUUACAUCAAGUUCAUCUGGUCUUUACUAAAAUUAGAACUGAUUGAAUCAUGGCGGUUGUAUGUCAUUUAACCGGCAUAGUCCCUUCCAUGUAUCACAAACCAAUUCUAUUUUUAUAUAAUCCUUACAUGAGAAGAACCUUUAUUCUCAAAAACUUUUCUAUAUGUUAUCUAUGAACCUUAAAUGUAUACACGUACUUUAAUGAUAACAUAUUUAAUAAAUUAGAAACUUAACUUUAAUUGAAUUCCUAGGUGUCAAAUACUUAAUGAGCAUUCCAUAAAUAUAAUAGCAAGGCUUUAUCUAUGAUACCCAUACGCUCUAAAUGGCCAUUGAACGCCUUGGGUGGUAAAGCUUUAGUUUGCGGAUCCGCUAUCUUUAUAUCCUUUCUUAUGUGCUCAAAUGACACUCUAUGUUUCUAAACUUCUUCUUUAAUAGACAAGUACUCUAACUUAAUGUGCUUAGCACCCUUCCAAUACUUGUCAUCCUUUCAAAAGAAGACAGCUGCGAAUUUAUCACCAUAAUCUCUCAGCGGUUUGGCGUUAGUGUCGACAAUCCAAAGCCCUGAGAUAAAUUUCCGCAGGCUCCAUACAUGAAUUGUGGCUUCAAAACAUACCACAAAUCAACCUUAAUAGUGAAAGUAGCAAUGACAGACUACUUUCCACUUUCCUUUAAAUUGUUCCCACAAAUAAUAGAAACUAUACCUAAACGUUGAUUUAUGGUUCAAACUAGGUUUCUUUCCAUUCAUAGUUCGUAAGGGAUCUUAGGAACUUCCUAACUAGGAACCUGGUUCAGCACAUAUGUUGCAGUUCUUAAUGCAUAUAUAUACCCAUAACUAAAGAAGUAAAGAGCAAUUAUUUAACAUGCUUCUAACCAUCUCUAUUAUAGUACGAUUAUGCCUCUCUACUACACCAUUAUGCUAAAGAGUAUUGGACAUACUGUAUUGUGCACAAAUGCCUCUACUUUGAAGUAACUUUCCAUAGAGCUCACCUCCUCUAUCAGAUCUCACUACUUUUACUUUUCUAUCUAGCCGCCUUUCCAUCUUAUCAGUGAACACCUUUAGGACAUCCACAAAAUUAGACCUUUCAUGCAGUAGAUAAGUAUAUACAUACUGUGAGUAAUCAUCAAUAAAGAUGAUGAUGUCCUUUUCACCACUUCAUGAAGGAGCAUCGAAAGAGCCACAUAUUUGGUGUGUAUUAACCUAAGAAACUGAGUGCUUCUUGUGGCUGGUUUCGUUACAGUAUGUUUAGUCUGUUUUCCUUUAAUGCAGUCUAUACAUACAUGUAGGUCACUAAAUUCCAAUUGAGGAGGAAUUUCACUCUUCACCAACCUCAUUCUUUCUUUGGAUAUGUGACCUAGUCUUUGAUGCCACAAGAAACCGAAAUUUCAUUAUAUGUGCUAUGAUUAGUGCCUCUAAUUUCAACCACCAAGUAUUACUAGAAAUUUUAAUAAGACUCCUUUCAUAGCAAACAAGACUUUAAUGUUUACUUUCUUAUCAAAGCAAGCCUUCCUUUUAAGACAAUCCUACUUGAAAAGUCUCAUUUUAUUGCAAAAGAAACACUUCAUUUCAUUUCGGAUUUGACUUUUAAGUCCUUUCAGGAAAGACUAGUUAUUCCUUUUGUUCUUUCUACUUGGGAUUCUUUUGCUGCUACUGACACUUCCAAGACCUAUGAGGUUAGCAACUUGAUCUUUCAUCUUCCUUGAUCUACUCUCCUCUUGAAUAAACAUAGCUUUUAUUUCUUUAAUGUUUCAUUAUCUUUACUGGUGUUGUAAUUCACCUGAGAAACUGACUAAUCUCAAGAGGUAUAGAGCUCAUGAUAAAUUGGACCAGAAGCUGCUUGUGCACCUCCAUUUCCAAGGUCUUUAACUUUACAAUCGUAUUAGACAUGUGAGUCACAUGAUCACAGAUUAGUUGGGACCAGUUAACCAUUUUCAUAGUUAGCUCAUUUAUGAGACUUUCUACAUUCGGAGAUAUCUAUCGUAAUGGCUGAGGACUCUUCAUUUACUAUGGUGAAUUCACAUUCUAUUACACCUAGUGUAAACCAGAUCUUUUCGGACCAUUCACCAUAAUUGAGUUCAUUGAACUUAACGAUAGAGUUAGCAAAUGCAAACACAUUUGAUGAAGCUGCAAGCUUUUAUACAUGCUUACCCCUUACUGCUUUGAAACUUUAUUUCAGAUUCUAGACUUAAUAUAAACUUUUAAGUAUGUAUAUAAGUAACCUUUGGGCAAUACUUAAACACAAACACUUUCAAUGACGCUAAAAUACACUUUAAUAACUAAUCAUUUAAAACUCAAGUCAAAUGGUAUAUUACCUUUGGGUAUAUAUACUACCAACUAUAGUAAAAAAAUGACUAGUUCUUUUCAUAUUAUUAACUAUAUUCAAUGAUCCACCUUUGGGUAAUCUCCAAGAAUAUAGAAAAUAAAAUAAUUGAUCACUAAAACUUUAAUGUCAUUUAGCGUCUCUUUUAUCAUGAUCAAUUAUACUACUAUUAAUUUUAAUGUUUGUAAGUAAAUAACAUGAUCACUUUGGUGACUAACAUGUUAUAAACUAUACAAACAUCAAAAUAUUAAUAGGUAAAUUUAUCCUAAUAUUAUGCUAUAUUUCAUAACAUAAUUUUAUAUACUGUGUUAAUAUUUCAUAACACAAGUUACCUAUUAAUAAAAUGCAGCGAAAGCAUUUAAAAAAAAAAAUUACAACUUUAUAUAUACAAUAUUUUAAAUUAAUAAAAUAUUAUAUACCUCAUUUGUGUCACUAAAACUGUAAGGAACACUUGUUCCUUAGAUAAAACACAAUUAAAUUUCAAUCACUUAAAUGUAACAAGCGCUUCACAUUUACGGAUUUACUAACAAUAAUCUUUUAUUAAUCCACGCAUGCUUGUACAUAUCAAUUAAGUUAUCAUGCCAGUUACUAAUUCUUUUCUAAUCAUGCAAGCACACAUUCAUGCAACAACAUGCAUUAAUCAAUUAAACGAGCCAAUAUUUCCUUUCUAAUUAGGUGAAAGUCUUACCAUCACAACCCGUAAUAGUGACUUUUCACAAUAUUAUGGUAAUAACCGUCAUAAGGAAACUUUCAUGCAUGUGCCUUUACGUUUGUUACCGUAAAACCCAGGUUUCAUGUCGAACCUUUUAAACAAACGACCAUUAUGCACACAUGAAACAUCGUGAUUUUAAUGGAUUUAUUGCAAAAUCCAUUACGUAAAUGACUACGUUCAUUUCGUAACUUGAUCAACAACAACCCGUUUAACUUAGUGGCUGACAUAUAAAACCCUUUAUGGCAUCGUAAGAUUCCGUAAUUAAAAUAAUAAAACAAUCGUUCAUAGAUUGAUUUAGUGUGUCGUAUCGUUACGUUCGUUUACGAUGCCAUAUUCAUAUGCAUGAUCAUCAACGCACACUUUAACAAAUACCAUACGUUUAAGUGCAGUACGCUUAAUUACGAUGGAUUAUACUAAUCUCAUGAACACUCUUUAAAACGGAUGAACCCGUAUAUGUUCACAAGCACAUGAGAACUAAACCGAGAAUGUUCUUAACAUUUUCAAAUGCCUAAUGAGUGAAUUAAUUAAAUCUAAGAUGGCUCUGAUACCAAAUGUAAGAUUAACUUUUAUGAUUUCAAUUAUGAAAUCUAUUCCAAGACCAUAAUCUAGAUUUAGUUUUAAUUCAACCCUGGUAUGCUUCUUAGAGAAGAAGAAAGAAACACUAACCUUUAAUCCAUGCUUAAUGAAGAUAAAUUGAAAGCAAUGCACCAAUUGAUUUUCUCCUCCCUUUGGCCUCUAAUCCUUUAUGAUUCCCUUUGAUGGACAAAGGAAUCCAAAACCUCUUCUUAUCACGUUUUGUUCCCUUACGGUGGCUUAUACGUUUCUUACGUAACUGUUAUAGCGACACAAUCGUAACUCUUCUCUCAUAUAAGAAAAAGUCACUUGUCACAUUUUGAUAACCACCACAAGCGAGUAUAUAUAUGUGUGUGUAUUGUGCCUUUUAAUUAUCACAUCUUUUCAUUUUGUACUCUUUCAAGUACAAACUAUACUUUAUAUGUGAUUAAUAUACAUCCAAGCACAACUAUAACACAUAUACAUAAAUGAUUGUAUAUAACCAUUAUAGAAGAAUCAUUUAUAACUAACAAGGCAAGGAAGGAGGGUUAUCAAUACACCCAUAUUCUAAUACUUUUAUCGAAACCGAUCCAUCAUGGUAUCAUCUUUUAUAUUAGAAUAUAAAACAUUAAUACGAACUUGAACUUUAUAUUAAACCAAUAUACACAUAGGUCAUAUAAGAAUAUAAAAUAUUCUUACA